GCCUCCUCCACUAUGCCACAGGGCCAAAGCAACAGGGCCAGCCAAUUAUGGACUGAAAACUCUGAAACCACGAGGCAAAACAAUGUUUUUGCCUUUUAAAUUGAUUUAUUUCAAGUAUUUUGUCACAGUUACAGAAGGCUGACUAACACAGGGGUCAGCCUUGCACUUUGCCCCAUCUCUCUCCACAUAGCAGUCAGAGGUUGUGACAAACCUGCCAAAGUCCUCCAGGGACUGACAGUCACACUCAGGGUUACAGUCGUAGUCUCUGGCUGGCCCCAUGGCUUCUUAGCCAGUGUACUCUCCCUGAAAAUGUCCUGCCUGCUGACUUGACCGCCGUGUGGACUGGCUCAGGCCUGGGUACCUGUUCCUCUCUGCCUGGCAACCUGUGCUCUGCCCUGGCUCUGCAGGAAUGCAGUCCUUCAGAGGGCCCUUGAGUCUACCCUGUUGAAGAUACCUCCAUCUGUCACUGUUCCCUGUUGUUCCUCUGCCACUCAGCCCACCAGACACUAGCAUUUCUAUUUCUCUUCUGCCAGAGAUUCCCUGCCAGAGGAUAAAGACCAGGAGGACAGGUCUGAGAAUGCCCACGGCAUGGCUGGGCAACCAGAGAACACCUGAGGUGGAGGUGCACGCGCCACACAAAGCAGAACAGCAGAGCUACCCGAGGACCAGCUGGUGCCACAGGUGAAGCUGUUGGCUGCCCUGGUUCUGGACUACAGAGCCUGGUACGGCUCACACACUGCUGGAGCCAGACAGAGCCAGGAUGGUGUCCUUGGGAUAUAAAGCGUCCCCUGAAGAGUUCACGCGUCAGUGCAGCAGUGUUCAGAGUUGUUCUCGUCAGGUAUUUGGUCACAGGGAUGCAAAGCUGCCUGCCCAGAUGGAGAAUGAGCAUGUGUUCCAGUCAGAAUGAGGCCAAUGGCGAAGCCUGAGAACGGACAGUGGCAGGUCCGGAGAGUCAAAGAUGUGCCAUCCGAGGCCAACCUAGGUGUUCAGGGGGUGGCUGCUACUUGUUGAACCUCAAGUUUCUGUGUUGUAGUAAUCCCCUGAACUUCUAAAUGUGACUAUUUGGAAAUAGUCUUUAAGGGAUGAUUAAAUUAAAAUGAGGCCCGUAGAGUGGCCCUAACCCA